AGGUGGGUGACGGAUAGAGAGUGAGCACACAUAGUUUCAAGCAUACAAAUCAUCAUCUAGUACACCUCCCUCCAAUAUCAUGCAAGAAAAGCCCAUCUGUGCUCACUCUCUUCUGUCA
rnacentral:precursor_RNA from 1 species